GCGUGCUAUGAGAUUACAGAUUGGUGCUGAAACGACACUUGCCAAACAGUUGUCAUACUGAUGAUGAACUCUUCACAGUUCGAAAUGCAUUCAGACAUCGGAAGUGGAAAAUGAAAUGAAUGUACGUGACUUAUCGAUCGAGAAGCGACGAUGUCGGUUUUCAGACGAGCGUUGGCCUUUGAAUGCAUCACUUCCUUACGGCUUUGUCUCGUGUAUGAUUUAUACUCGAGUUUAAAUUGAAUUAGAGCUCUGUAAUUGUACACUGCACUUUGCACCAAGCGAAUAUAAAAAUCGCUACUGUAAUUAUGAACAGAUGAAAUGCAUUUCGGAACAGAAAACCAAAAGUUUAACUUUUCACCAUCACCAGAAUAUUAAAGCCUGUCUUUCUAGCUGUAGAGAAAUGCAUGUUGGCUUAGUCAAAUUUUCUAAGAAGAAACGAGUCAUCGGCUAUAAAUCGGUUAACGAAAGUGAUCAAGCGUGGGGCAUUACGUCUGUGACCGUUGAAAUAAAUAGUCAACCGAAACUAUUGACUCGAUCAGCCCGCCUUACAAAUCUAGACUUGGUCAUCACCAUAGGCAGCAUUGUUGGUAUAUUUUUCGGUGCAUCGCUUCUCAGUUUGAUCGAAUUUAUUCACCU